rnacentral:rRNA from 1 species
AUCCCCGCCGGAGACGACUGUUAUCAGGGUCCGACUAAGCCAUGCGAGGCGAGAGCUCUCUGGGCUCGCCGCACUGCUGAGUAACACGUAGUCAACCUACCCUCAGGAGGGGGAUACACUCGGGAAACUGAGCUCAAUACCCCAUAGGCCUCGGAUACUGGAAUGUUCCGAGGCUGAAAGGCUCCGGCGCCUGAGGAUGGGACUGCGGCGUAUCAGGUUGUUGUCAGGAUAAAAACCUGACAAGCCGAUAACGCGUAGGGGCCAUGAGAGUGGGAGCCUCCAGAUGCCUUCUGAGACAUGAAGGCAGGGCCUACGGGUCGCAGCAGGCGCGAAAACUUUCCAAUGCGCUAGCGCGUGAGAAGGGGACCCUGAGUGGCCGUGCUCUGCACGGCCUUUUGCCAAGUGUAAAAAGCUUGGCGAAUAAGGGCUGGGCAAGACGGGUGCCAGCCGCCGCGGUAAUACCCGCGGCCCAAAUGGUCGUCACGGUUAUUGGGCCUAAAGCGUCCGUAGCCGGCCUGGCAAGUCUCUGGUGAAAUCCGGCAGCUAACUGUCGGGCGUGCUGGAGAUACUACCAGGCUUGGGACCGGGAGAAGGCUGGGGUAUUCGGCGGGUAGGGGUUAAAUCCUUUAAUCCGCCGAGGACCACCUGUGGCGAAGGCGCCAGCCUAGAACGGGUCCGACGGUGAGGGACGAAAGCCAGGGGAGCAAACCGGAUUAGAUACCCGGGUAGUCCUGGCUGUAAACGAUGCCCGCUUGGUGUUGCAACCCUUACGUGGGGUUGUAGUGCCGGAGCGAAAGUGUUAAGCGGGCCGCCUGGGGAGUACGGCCGCAAGGCUGAAACUUAAGGGAAUUGGCGGGGGAGCACACAAGGGGUGGAGGCUGCGGUUCAAUUGGAUUUGACGCCGAAAACCUCACUAGCGCAGACAGCAGGAUGAAGGUCAGUCUGAAGGGCUUACCAGACGAGCUGAGAGGUGUUGCAUGGCCAUCGUCAGCUCGUACCGUGAGGCGUGCCGUUAAGUCGGUUAACGAGCGAGACCCACGCCGCCAGUUGCCACCACGCUUUGUUUCCGAGAAAUCGGGAGCAACGCGUGAGCACUCUGGCGGGACCGCUGGCGAUAAGCCAGAGGAAGGUGUGGGCGACGAUAGGUCAGUAUGGCCCGAUUGCGCUAGGCUACACGCGGCCUACAAUGCGCAGGACAAUGCGAUGCAACGCCGAAAGGCGGAGCUAAUCGCCUAAACCUGCGCCCAGUUCGGAUCGAGGGCUGCAACUCGCCCUCGUGAAGCUGGAAUCCCUAGUAAGCGAACGUCAUGAUCGUUCGCUGAAUACGUCCCUGCUCUUUGCACACACCGCCCGU